ensembl:snRNA U5 U5 spliceosomal RNA
ACACUCUGGCUUCUCUUCAGAACGCAUUACAAGUCUUUCGCCUUUUACUAAAGACUUCCGUGGAGAGCAGCGCUAAAGAGUUGCACCUAUUUUUGUCAGGGUCUGCCGUCUGGCUG